UUUUUUUGUUUUUUUUUCGGAUCAUUCCACCUCCCUCCCGUCCACGUACACCGUCGUCCGUGCGCGAACCGAUGCGAGAAAUACGUUCUACGUGAAGAAGGAGGCGGGGGGUUUGAAUGUGCCCUGAGCGCCGGCGCCGCUUCGCACACUGACGCUCACAAACGCACGGUAGCGAAGGCGUGCCUCGGCCAUGAGGAUGCCGGCGACGAACCCUCGCGCUCCCUCCCCUGUGCCCGCUCCUUGUGCCUCCUUCCGAGGCCGGCAGGUGAGUGCGCCGUCCGUCCCUGCGGAGAGGGACCUCUUUCUUGUGUCGCGUCUGUCUGCUCAUCUGAUGCGUCGUUGUGCGCUCUUCGUGGGACACCACGGUGCGACGAGAUCCGGCGGGGAGUGCGAUCGGGUUGUGCUCUCUGUCUCUCGUCCCAGUGGAGGCGGUGGCGUUGCGCUGCCUGCCGGUGCUACUUCCAGCGUCGAUUGCCGUGGACGCGGAGGGCCCCGCGACCUCGUGGCCUCUUGUCUGCCGUUGUGCCUCGACCGGCCGUGUCUUGAGGGUCAGCCCCGCCCGUGCGACCGUCUGCAUGCCUCCACGUGGCGGUGCCGGAGGCUGGAAGGGCCCGCGGCUCCGCGCUGUCGCCCGUACACAAGCACAACAUAUAUGCGUAUCGCGGUGCUCCUGAGUAGGACGCACUGUACUCCUGGCGGUGCAGCCCUCGGCGCGACUCUCGCUUCUUCCAUCUCUGCCCCACCCCCCUCCCCCUCUGUCUCUCACGCCUGCAAAG
rnacentral:misc_RNA from 1 species